AACUGGUGUGAAAGAAGACCCCCAGUCUAUUUUCAUGUAUACAGUGGGUAAAAAAGAGGAUGAAAAGAAAGAAUCCAUGGUGGAGCUUCUCCACCGCAGCUUACUAAUGGACCCACUCCCUCCAAAACCGCCACUCUCCAAGUCCCAAAAAAGACUGGCUCAGAUUGGGAUCCCUCCUCCCAUACAUACAUUUCCUUAUAACAUUAUGGAUGAUCAUUCCAGCGCUUUCCCGAAGUCUACCAUUAUUAAGAAGAUUCAGAGCAUCAAAAUAUUAGGCUUUCCUGAUUCCAUCCAUGAGAAGAUGAUCUAUGAAGACAAAGUUCCCAGAUACGUUUCAGCAAACCCAGGUCUGUGAUGAUCUUGUCAACUCCCUGGAAUUUGGUGAUUUGGCCCCUAGGGACUGACAGUUGACAAUGUGGCAGCUCCAGUGUAUCUGUUCCCUUGGGGAAUAAGGAAUAGUUCU
rnacentral:lncRNA from 1 species